rnacentral:rRNA from 1 species
UACAGAGGGUGCAAGCGUUGUUCGGAAUUACUGGGCGUAAAGCGUGCGUAGUCGGUAUUGAGAGUCGCGGGUGAAAUCCCAGGGCUUAACCCUGGAACUGCCUGCGAGACCUCAGUACUAGAGUGUGAGAGGGGAUAGUGGAAUACCCAGUGUAGCGGUGAAAUGCGUAGAGAUUGGGUGGAACACCGGUGGCGAAGGCGGCUAUCUGGCUCACAACUGACGAUCAGGCACGAAAGCAUGGGGAGCAAACAGG